rnacentral:rRNA from 1 species
ACCGUGGAGUUGUGGCAGACGAGCCUCUCGAGCGUGUGUCGGAGGUCGAGCAGCCCCCUGGCGGCGGAGGUGGAGAGGUCGCAGCCCCGCAGCUCGAGCAUGCGAAGGCGCGCGAACGGCAGGAGCGAGAGCGGCGCCGGGUCGCGCCCCGGCCCCGCGGCGACGACCUUGAGCGAGGUGAGGAGGCGGAGGAUCCGGCGGAGCUGCUCGAGCGCGCGGUGGUCCCCGAGGUCGGCGACGUAG